AUCUACGGCCAUACCACCCUGAACGUGCCCAAUCUUGUCUGAUCUUGGAAGCUAAGCAGGGUCAGGCCUGGUUAGCACUUGGAUGGGAGAUGAUGGGAAUAAUUAAAACAGCAAAUA
rnacentral:rRNA from 1 species